ensembl:lncRNA
ACAGUAGAUUGCAGGCGGAGAGUCCCAGAAGAGUUGAGCCACGCCCGGAAGCCGGUGUAAAGCUUAGAAGAGUAUUUUUUAGAACCAACCAGUGAAGGCAAAGAUGGACGUAAUCGGUAGACAAGGGUGGUUUGGAAGCAGUUCGGUCUUUGGCCUGCUUCUCACUUCGUUACGUUUCUCUAGCCGUUUCUCAAGACCAAGACUGCCUCUUUUCUGUUGGUUCCAAAUUUGUGGUGGUCCUCUUCUGUGUGUCCCCGAGUGCCAAGAUCGAUCACAGUCCUCCAGAGGUUGUGGCUGGAAAACCAGGAGUUAGAGGCUAGCUUGGGGAGCUACAUGAGAC